CCUACGGGAGGCAGCAGUCGAGAAUUAUUCACAAUGGGGGAAACCCUGAUGGUGCGACGCCGCGUGGGGGAAUGAAGGUCUUCGGAUUGUAAACCCCUGUCAUGUGGGAGCAAAUUAAAAAGAUAGUACCACAAGAGGAAGAGACGGCUAACUCUGUGCCAGCAGCCGCGGUAAUACAGAGGUCUCAAGCGUUGUUCGGACUCACUGGGCGUAAAGGGUGCGUAGGCUGUUUCGUAAGUCGUGUGUGAAAGGCGCGGGCUCAACCCGCGGACGGCACAUGAUACUGCGAGACUAGAGUAAUGGAGGGGGAACCGGAAUUCUCGGUGUAGCAGUGAAAUGCGUAGAUAUCGAGAGGAACACUCGUGGCGAAGGCGGGUUCCUGGACAUUAACUGACGCUGAGGCACGAAGGCCAGGGGAGCGAAAGGGAUUAGAUACCCCAGUAGUC
rnacentral:rRNA from 1 species